GUUUCCGGACAGAUUGUAAUUACCAAUAUUAUAUGCAUAAUAAUGUGUUUGACAGGGUUAGCUAAGCUCUGCAUUAUUGUUUUUAGAUCUGUCUGCUUUGUGGUGACUAGAUUGAAGGCCAGGAGACUGGAAGUCAAGGAUAACUAGCCUUGGUUAGUUGAUGCCAUUGGGCUACGAUUAGAGCAAAGCUAAGAAACCCUAGCAGACACCAUAAAAAGAUUUCCAGCCUCGGUACACCACGCCUCACCGAACUAAAGUCUAAUUCCGAGAAUUACAAAAUCGCCAGUAAGACACUGCGGCCUGCGCUUUUGGAGGCUUCAGUGGACAUAUUACUGAGUGGUCUGAGUCCUGUUGUCGGUGAUUUUGCACUCAAGCCAAGGAAGGCACAGAAUUUGGGAAGAGCUCAGGGAAACCACCUCCACCCACUUCUGCAGCAGGGAGCACACAGACUAAGAGAAAGAAAAAACUCCCUGUUCCUUCCAGGACUACACAGAAUCCUCAGCAUUUCGUGAAGAACUCAAGGUGCUCCAAGGCAGCUGCUGCCCUGUUUCUAAACAAUGCGCACUUCCUCUAAGAAGGCUCUCUCAACCUUCAAAAAAAGGGGGGCUAUUGGUAUUAAUUAUUAAUAGUAAUAUGGGCAGUCAGAAUCUCGCCAGAGAGACAACCUAACUGGGAAAAUGGAUCAAGCAGAAUGCAGAAGUUGCAACUAGGGUGAUGAAUAUGAAGGCACUGUAGUGACUCUGAGUUGAAUCAAAUGUAAUUUCCGCGGAAAAAAAUUGAAUGGUACUGAGAACGUGGGGAUGCCCCCGCACAUCAGUAGUAUAG
rnacentral:lncRNA from 1 species